rnacentral:tRNA from 1 species
AGGAGUGUAGCUCAAUUGGUAGAGCACCGGUCUCCAAAACCGGGUGUUGUAGGUUCAAGUCCUAUCACUCCUGCCA